rnacentral:rRNA from 1 species
GACGAACCAUGCAAACGUUAUUCGGAUUCACUGGGCUUAAAGCGUGCGUAGGCGGUCUUGUUAGUCAGGUGUGAAAGCCCUCAGCUCAACUGAGGAAUUGCGCUUGAUACUGCAUGACUAGAGAAUGAUAGAGGUGGGUGGAACUGAUGGUGGAGCGGUGAAAUGCGUUGAUAUCAUCAGGAACACCAGUGGCGAAGGCGACCCACUGGGUCAUUUCUGACGCUGAGGUACGAAAGCUAGGGUAGCGAACGGGGA